rnacentral:rRNA from 1 species
CUGAAUAACUACGCAGAUCGCACAGGCUCGUCCUGGCGACAUAUCCUUCAAGUGUCUGCCUUAUCAACUGUCGAUGGUAGUUUAUUGGACUACCAUGGUUGUAACGGGUAACGGAGAAUUAGGGUUCGACUCCGGAGAGGGAGCCUGAGAUACGGCUACCACAUCCAAGGAAGGCAGCAGGCGCGCAAAUUACCCACUCUCAGCUCGAGGAGGUAGUGACGAAAAAUAACGAGACAGUCUUCUAUGAGGUCUGUCAUCGGAAUGGGUACAAUCUAAACCCUUUAACGAGGAUCUAUUGGAGGGCAAGUCUGGUGCCAGCAGCCGCGGUAAUUCCAGCUCCAAUAGCGUAUAUUAAAGUUGUUGCGGUUAAAAAG